AUCCUCACUUCCGCAGCACAAACACUAAAAUUGGAAUGAUACAGAGAAGAUUAGCAUGGCCCUUGCACAAGGAUGAUAUGCAAAUUUGUGAAGCGUUCUAUAUUUUG
ensembl:snRNA U6 U6 spliceosomal RNA